rnacentral:rRNA from 1 species
UGCGGCGCAUUAGCUAGUUGGUGGGGUAACGGCCUACCAAGGCGACGAUGCGUAGCCGACCUGAGAGGGUGAACGGCCACACUGGGACUGAGACACGGCCCAGACUCCUACGGGAGGCAGCAGUAGGGAAUCUUCCGCAAUGGACGAAAGUCUGACGGAACAACGCCGCGUGAGUGAGGAAAGUCUUCGGAUCGUAAAACUCUGUUGUCAGGGAAGAACCGCCGGGAUGACCUCCCGGUCUGACGGUACCUGACGAGAAAGCCCCGGCUAACUACGUGCCAGCAGCCGCGGUAAUACGUAGGGGGCAAGCGUUGUCCGGAAUUAUUGGGCGUAAAGCGCGCGCAGGCGGCUUCUUAAGUCAGGUGUGAAAGCCCACGGCUCAACCGUGGAGGGCCAUCUGAAACUGGGGAGCUUGAGUGCAGGAGAGGAGAGCGGAAUUCCACGUGUAGCGGUGAAAUGCGUAGAGAUGUGGAGGAACACCAGUGGCGAAGGCGGCUCUCUGGCCUGUAACUGACGCUGAGGCGCGAAAGCGUGGGGAGCAAACAAGGAUUAGAUACCCCUGGUAGUCCACGCCGUAAACGAUGAGUGCUAGGUGUUGGGGAGUCCACCUCCUCAGUGCCGCAGCUAACGCAAUAAGCACUCCGCCUGGGGAGUACGGCCGCAAGGCUGAAACUCAAAGGAAUUGACGGGGACCCGCACAAGCGGUGGAGCAUGUGGUUUAAUUCGAAGCAACGCGAAGAACCUUACCAGGGCUUGACAUCCCGCUGACCCCUCCAGAGAUGGAGGCUUCCUUCGGGACAGCGGUGACAGGUGGUGCAUGGUUGUCGUCAGCUCGUGUCGUGAGAUGUUGGGUUAAGUCCCGCAACGAGCGCAACCCUUGUCCUUUGUUGCCAGCAUUCAGUUGGGCACUCUAAGGAGACUGCCGUCGACAAGACGGAGGAAGGUGGGGAUGACGUCAAAUCAUCAUGCCCCUUAUGUCCUGGGCUACACACGUGCUACAAUGGACGGUACAACGGGCGUGCCAACCCGCGAGGGUGAGCCAAUCCCUAAAAACCGUUCUCAGUUCGGAUUGCAGGCUGCAACUCGCCUGCAUGAAGCCGGAAUCGCUAGUAAUCGCGGAUCA